CCCCGUCCACAGUUCAGUCCUUUGGCCACAGACUAGUGAGUGUGAGUCCCAGAGAAACCAUGCUCAGGAAGACAACGUGGUGGAAGAGACGGACUUUCAGGUGAUGCCUGUGGUGGUGACAGGGUUUGGGGUGGCCAGUUUCCCCAGCACUGAGGACUCUGAGGGUAUGGUCCUACCCUUCUCUGCCCUGCACUGUGGGGGGGUCCGAGGGGAGUCCAGCGGAAACCUCAUGGUAAGGUUCUGUACACUGCUCCAACUGGAGAAUGGGUGCAGUACAUUCUAGAAUAGGCAUGCAAUGCAGUGGUUAUGUAACAUGGGGCCCUUUCUUUCGUCCUUUGCAGAUCACAAACCACAGAAUCAUCAUACCAAUUAAAGGUAACCAGCACCCCUGGACUUUGCUUGUGUUCUCACCACACCACACCAUUGACCAUACAGUCCUGGUCCUCUAUUUAAACUUGAAUCAUUAAUCGUUUUCAAUUAUUACUUGGUCCAACCUGAACAUGACCGUGUGCGGUCGCCCAUCUGUGCCCUGUCUGUGACCCAGGGCAGGCGGUGGUGUGGGGUGGUGGCCUAGAUUGUUGACCCCUCUCUCCCCUCUGUCGCCUGCCCCCUCAGGCCAGGUAGAUGUGAUGGUGACUGUGGAGCGCUGUCAGCUGUGGAAGUACAGCAUCUGGGACAGGGAGGAGCUACAGGAGAGAGGGCUGGGGUGUGAGGUCAAGGGAGAGAUGGGGCAGCCUCCCCCCGCCCUCCUCCUCCUCUACGUGUCAGAGGCCCAGGCAGUCGCCGUUCAAGAAGACCUGAGGGAGCUGUCAAUCAAACAGGCCUUAGAACCACCCACUGGCCAGGCCAGUCCCUUCCUCCUGCUGACUCUGCAUGCCCCUCUGGAGGGGGUGGAAGGGGCUCUACUUCGCUCCAUCCUCGACAUCAUCUGUCUCAACAACGUCGACGCUGCAUGUCUCUGGGGGAACGCUCCCAUCAACGAGGCGGUGGUCCUCCACAGUCCCCUCCUGUCAUUGGAUGACAGUCUGGCGCUGAUCGGUAGAACCGGACUAGACCAUCAGCUGCUCUCCCUACUGGGACAGAACAAUGCCGAGCCUGUCACAGAACCCGACCAAGACAGAGACACACCUGGGCCAAAUCUGGACACUGUGGAGGGAGAGUCACAGACACCACCGGAGACAGAGGUACAGGCAGAGGAGGAGGAGCAGAGGGAGGCAGAGAGCGUACCCCUCGCUGAGGAGAGUCCAGUCCAGCCCAGACCCGUGUACACAGUGUGUCACAGCAGAACCAGAGGCUCCUACUCUGUGUUCUUGGGCCCGAAGCCAGGCUCCAACUGGACCCGAUACAAGCACCAGGGCCCCACACGCAGGCAAGCUACACAACUCCCAUGA
rnacentral:lncRNA from 1 species